rnacentral:rRNA from 1 species
GAAGAAGGCGGGCGGCGUGCUUAACACAUGCAAGUCGAACGGAAAGGCCCUGCUUUUGUGGGGUGCUCGAGUGGCGAACGGGUGAGUAACACGCGAGUAACCUGCCCUUGACUUUGGGAUAACUUCAGGAAACUGGGGCUAAUACCGGAUAGGAGCUCCUGCUGCAUGGUGGGGGUUGGAAAGUUUCGGCGGUUGGGGAUGGACUCGCGGCUUAUCAGCUUGUUGGUGGGGUAGUGGCUUACCAAGGCUUUGACGGGUAGCCGGCCUGAGAGGGUGACCGGCCACAUUGGGACUGAGAUACGGCCCAGACUCCUACGGGAGGCAGCAGUGGGGAAUAUUGCACAAUGGGCGGAAGCCUGAUGCAGCAACGCCGCGUGCGGGAUGACGGCCUUCGGGUUGUAAACCGCUUUCGCCUGUGACGAAGCGUGAGUGACGGUAAUGGGUAAAGAAGCACCGGCUAACUACGUG